UGUUUCGGCUAGGGGGUCAUCCCGACUUACCAACCCGAUGCAAACUACGAAUACCGAAGAAUGUUAUCACGGGAGACACACGGCGGGUGCUAACGUCCGUCGUGAAGAGGGAAACAACCCAGACCGCCAGCUAAGGUCCCAAAGUCAUGGUUAAGUGGGAAACGAUGUGGGAAGGCACAGACAGCCAGGAUGUUGGCUUAGAAGCAGCCAUCAUUUAAAGAAAGCGUAAUAGCUCACUGGUCGAGUCGGCCUGCGCGGAAGAUGUAACGGGGCUAAACCAUGCACCGAAGCUGCGGCAGCGACACUAUGUGUUGUUGGGUAGGGGAGCGUUCUGUAAGCCUGCGAAGGUGACCUGUGAGGGUUGCUGGAGGUAUCAGAAGUGCGAAUGCUGACAUAAGUAACGAUAAAGCGGGUGAAAAGCCCGCUCGCCGGAAGACCAAGGGUUCCUGUCCAACGUUAAUCGGGGCAGGGUGAGUCGACCCCUAAGGCGAGGCCGAAAGGCGUAGUCGAUGGGAAACAGGUUAAUAUUCCUGUACUUGGUGUUACUGCGAAGGGGGGACGGAGAAGGCUAUGUUAGCCGGGCGACGGUUGUCCCGGUUUAAGCAUGUAGGCUGGUUAUCCAGGCAAAUCCGGAUAAUCAAGGCUGAGGUGUGAUGACAAGGCACUACGGUGCUGAAGUAACAAAUGCCCUGCUUCCAGGAAAAGCCUCUAAGCAUCAGGUAACAUCAAAUCGUACCCCAAACCGACACAGGUGGUCAGGUAGAGAAUACCAAGGCGCUUGAGAGAACUCGGGUGAAGGAACUAGGCAAAAUGGUGCCGUAACUUCGGGAGAAGGCACGCUGGUGUGUAGGUGAAGCCCCUGCGGGUGGAGCUGAGACCAGUCGAAGAUACCAGCUGGCUGCAACUGUUUAUUAAAAACACAGCACUGUGCAAACACGAAAGUGGACGUAUACGGUGUGACGCCUGCCCGGUGCCGGAAGGUUAAUUGAUGGGGUUAUCCGUAAGGAGAAGCUCUUGAUCGAAGCCCCGGUAAACGGCGGCCGUAACUAUAACGGUCCUAAGGUAGCGAAAUUCCUUGUCGGGUAAGUUCCGACCUGCACGAAUGGCGUAAUGAUGGCCAGGCUGUCUCCACCCGAGACUCAGUGAAAUUGAACUCGCUGUGAAGAUGCAGUGUACCCGCGGCAAGACGGAAAGACCCCGUGAACCUUUACUAUAGCUUGACACUGAACAUUGAGCCUUGAUGUGUAGGAUAGGUGGGAGGCUUUGAAGCGUGGACGCCAGUCUGCGUGGAGCCAACCUUGAAAUACCACCCUUUAAUGUUUGAUGUUCUAACGUUGGCCCCUGACCGGGGUUGCGGACAGUGUCUGGUGGGUAGUUUGACUGGGGCGGUCUCCUCCCAAAGCGUAACGGAGGAGCACGAAGGUUAGCUAAUCCUGGUCGGACAUCAGGAGGUUAGUGCAAUGGCAUAAGCUAGCUUGACUGCGAGCGUGACGGCGCGAGCAGGUGCGAAAGCAGGUCAUAGUGAUCCGGUGGUUCUGAAUGGAAGGGCCAUCGCUCAACGGAUAAAAGGUACUCCGGGGAUAACAGGCUGAUACCGCCCAAGAGUUCAUAUCGACGGCGGUGUUUGGCACCUCGAUGUCGGCUCAUCACAUCCUGGGGCUGAAGUAGGUCCCAAGGGUAUGGCUGUUCGCCAUUUAAAGUGGUACGCGAGCUGGGUUUAGAACGUCGUGAGACAGUUCGGUCCCUAUCUGCCGUGGGCGCUGGAGAAUUGAGGGGGGCUGCUCCUAGUACGAGAGGACCGGAGUGGACGCAUCACUGGUGUUCGGGUUGUCAUGCCAAUGGCACUGCCCGGUAGCUAAAUGCGGAAGAGAUAAGUGCUGAAAGCAUCUAAGCACGAAACUUGCCCCG
rnacentral:rRNA from 1 species